rnacentral:rRNA from 1 species
AUUGAACGCUGGCGGCAUGCCUAACACAUGCAAGUCGAACGGAAACGAUGGAAGCUUGCUUCCAGGCGUCGAGUGGCGGACGGGUGAGUAAUGCUUAGGAAUCUGCCCAAUAGUGGGGGACAACCAGGAGAAAUUCUGGCUAAUACCGCAUACGCACUACGGUGGAAAGUGGGGGACCUUCGGGGCCUCACGCUAUUGGAUGAGCCUAAGUCGGAUUAGCUUGUUGGUGGGGUAAUGGCUCACCAAGGCGACGAUCCGUAGCUGGUCUGAGAGGACGAUCAGCCACACUGGGACUGAGACACGGCCCAGACUCCUACGGGAGGCAGCAGUGGGGAAUAUUGGACAAUGGGCGCAAGCCUGAUCCAGCAAUGCCGCGUGUGUGAAGAAGGCCUGCGGGUUGUAAAGCACUUUCAGUAGAGAAGAAAAGCCUGAGGUUAAUACCCUCGAGUCUUGACGUAACCUACAGAAGAAGCACCGGCUAACUCCGUG